rnacentral:rRNA from 1 species
GCCCUUCAGGCCUAACACAUGCAAGUCGAGCGGAGGUGAGGUGCUUGCACCUUAUCUUAGCGGCGGACGGGUGAGUAAUACUUAGGAAUCUGGCUAUUAGUGGGGGACAACAUUUCGAAAGGGAUGCUAAUACCGCAUACGUCCUACGGGAGAAAGCAGGGGAUCUUCGGACCUUGCGCUAAUAGAUGAGCCUAAGUCGGAUUAGCUAGUUGGUGGGGUAAAGGCCUACCAAGGCGACGAUCUGUAGCGGGUCUGAGAGGAUGAUCCGCCACACUGGGACUGAGACACGGCCCAGACUCCUACGGGAGGCAGCAGUGGGGAAUAUUGGACAAUGGGGGGAACCCUGAUCCAGCCAUGCCGCGUGUGUGAAGAAGGCCUUAUGGUUGUAAAGCACUUUAAGCGAGGAGGAGGGUGCUGGUAUUAAUACUACCAGCUACUGGACGUUACUCGCAGAAUAAGCACCGGCUAACUCUGUGCCAGCAGCCGCGGUAAUAAGGGCGAAUUMKGSA